rnacentral:rRNA from 1 species
AGAGUUUGAUCAUGGCUCAGAUUGAACGCUGGCGGCAGGCCUAACACAUGCAAGUCGAGCGGAUGAAGGGAGCUUGCUCCUGGAUUCAGCGGCGGACGGGUGAGUAAUGCCUAGGAAUCUGCCUGGUAGUGGGGGAUAACGUCCGGAAACGGGCGCUAAUACCGCAUACGUCCUGAGGGAGAAAGUGGGGGAUCUUCGGACCUCACGCUAUCAGAUGAGCCUAGGUCGGAUUAGCUAGUUGGUGGGGUAAAGGCCUACCAAGGCGACGAUCCGUAACUGGUCUGAGAGGAUGAUCAGUCACACUGGAACUGAGACACGGUCCAGACUCCUACGGGAGGCAGCAGUGGGGAAUAUUGGACAAUGGGCGAAAGCCUGAUCCAGCCAUGCCGCGUGUGUGAAGAAGGUCUUCGGAUUGUAAAGCACUUUAAGUUGGGAGGAAGGGCAGUAAGUUAAUACCUUGCUGUUUUGACGUUACCAACAGAAUAAGCACCGGCUAACUUCGUGCCAGCAGCCGCGGUAAUACGAAGGGUGCAAGCGUUAAUCGGAAUUACUGGGCGUAAAGCGCGCGUAGGUGGUUCAGCAAGUUGGAUGUGAAAUCCCCGGGCUCAACCUGGGAACUGCAUCCAAAGCUACUGAGCUAGAGUACGGUAGAGGGUGGUGGAAUUUCCUGUGUAGCGGUGAAAUGCGUAGAUAUAGGAAGGAACACCAGUGGCGAAGGCGACCACCUGGACUGAUACUGACACUGAGGUGCGAAAGCGCGGGGAGCAAACAGGAUUAGAUACCCUGGUAGUCCACGCCGUAAACGAUGUCGACUAGCCGUUGGGAUCCUUGAGAUCUUAGUGGCGCAGCUAACGCGAUAAGUCGACCGCCUGGGGAGUACGGCCGCAAGGUUAAAACUCAAAUGAAUUGACGGGGGCCCGCACAAGCGGUGGAGCAUGUGGUUUAAUUCGAAGCAACGCGAAGAACCUUACCUGGCCUUGACAUGCUGAGAACUUUCCAGAGAUGGAUUGGUGCCUUCGGGAACUCAGACACAGGUGCUGCAUGGCUGUCGUCAGCUCGUGUCGUGAGAUGUUGGGUUAAGUCCCGUAACGAGCGCAACCCUUGUCCUUAGUUACCAGCACCUCGGGUGGGCACUCUAAGGAGACUGCCGGUGACAAACCGGAGGAAGGUGGGGAUGACGUCAAGUCAUCAUGGCCCUUACGGCCAGGGCUACACACGUGCUACAAUGGUCGGUACAAAGGGUUGCCAAGCCGCGAGGUGGAGCUAAUCCCAUAAAACCGAUCGUAGUCCGGAUCGCAGUCUGCAACUCGACUGCGUGAAGUCGGAAUCGCUAGUAAUCGUGAAUCAGAAUGUCACGGUGAAUACGUUCCCGGGCCUUGUACAC